rnacentral:lncRNA from 1 species
CCCCCACACACACACACACACACACACACACACACACACACACACACACACACACACACACACACACACACUACGUAGGCCGUCGCUGUAAAUAAGAAUUUGUUCUUAACUGACUUCCCUAGUUAAAUCAAGGUAAAAUAACAAUGUAAACAUACACGCACACACAAAUUAGUCUUCAUGGAGGGUUUGAGCAUUAUUCUACAGGGGAUAUUGCCUGGAGUGACACCGCCACCUAGUGGUCUAAUGGCCAUGUGAAGGGACAGGGGUGAUGAUCUGGUCACGGAUCAACAAAGCAUCUCUGAAUAGGAAUGCUGAUCUAGGAUUCAUAUAAUCUUAUUCAUUAUUAUCUAAUAGGAAAAACUGAUCUUAGAUCAGCACUCUGAUACGCUUUGUGGAUACAGGCCCUAAUCACCAGACAAGCUUCUUAGUUCCUGGUUGAAGUUCAAUCCGUUUUUCACAAGGGGGCAAUGUUAAGGUCAAAAAUGUGAAAUCUGUCCGGUGUUACGGUGUUGAUAUGAUUGAGUGAUUGAUUAUCAGUCAGGGUGCACUAGUCUCUGAAAGUCCCCCACCUGUUGUAGAAUAGGACAUUGUAGCAGCCAUAAGGGCAAUGCAACAGAUUCAGAUCAAAGUCUUUAUUUACAAUGAAAAUAAAAUCUUAUUUAGACCUACACUCAAACUGAACAGCAUCAACAGUCCUGGGCCUGGCUCAGGUGAAGAGAUCACAUACUAAUUCAUUAUGAAUAACAGUGGCCUGGGACAGCCAUGUCCGAAUACCCGUGCUUGCAUUCUAAAUAGAAGCCUGGGCAUUUUGGGUAUUCCCAAAAAAUAAGAUUUAUAGUAGCCCAUGUGAAUAAUAUCUAACAUUUAGUAUGCUUUAAAUGCGAGGAUGUCAUACUCAUUUCAGCUUUUCAUCUUGCAGAAUUAGAGACGAAAGAGGAAGCGAGACAUCUCUCUCCCUCAUUUCUUUCUGGUUCAUAUACAGUCAAUAAACUAAGUAGACCAGACACAGCUGCUAUCCCAUUAGUGUCUAUGGGAGAGCUACCCCUUAAGUAGACCGGAAAUUGAAAAAUGUUUCAAUGGUAAACGGCCUUAGUGUGGCAUCUUUGAUUAAUCCACAAUCUUUCGUAGAAUUCGCUGACCCACAUUUUUCGAGAACCACAUGUCUGACGAUUAACAUAUAAGGCACAAGAGGCAAUGCUGUAACAUGAAUACAGUCACAGGGAACUGGCGUUGUUUGGCCUGACACACGUUUAUGUUUUUCAUUCACUUAUUUCAUUAACGUAUGUUUAGCUUCAGCUGCUUUCUCUGUAUUGAGUUGACACAACCUCCCAGUGUCAACUGUAUUGAAGUGAGGAGAAUCAUCUUUUUGUUUGUGCUCUUUGGACCACUAAUGCAGCACGAAUAGACAGUCAUUUAUACCCAUAAUCUCAGUAUUUCCUCAUUCUAAACUGUUUUUUUCCUGACCUGAGGAUGCACCCUGCAAAGAAUUACAAUAGCCAGGUUUCCAUCCAAUGUCAGGACAGGCCUGAUGGAAACCUACCUAUAGACAAUGACUCACAAUUCUCUGACAGACAAUCAUUUAUGUUCUAGGCAGCCUAGACAAUACAUUUCCAUCCAUACCAGGUGGCAUUGCCAAAGACAUCUUUCAUAACUUCUGCGUACCAGGUGUACUGUGAGACAUUGUCACACGCAGGUGAAAUAGCUUCUUUUAUUUAACCAGGUUGGCCAGUUGAGAACAAGUUCUCAUUUACAACCGCAACCUGGCCAAGACAAAGCAAAGCAGUGCGACACAAACAACAACACAGAGUUACACAUGGAAUAAACAAACGUACAGUCAAUAACACAAUAGAAAAGUCUAUAUACAGUGUGUGCAAAUGAAGUAAGAUUAGGGAGGUAAGGCAAUAAAUAGGCUAUAAUGGUGAAAUAAUUACAAUUUAGCAAUUAAACACUGGAGUGAUAGAUGUGCAGAAGAUGAAUGUGCAAGUAGAAAUACUGGGGUGCAAAGGAGCUAAUUUUUUUUAUAACAAUAUGGGGAUGAGGUAGUUGGGUGGGCUAUUUACAGAUGGGCUAUGUACAGGUGCAAUGAUCUGUAAGCUGCUCUGACAGCUGAUGCUUAAUGUUAGUGAGGGAGAUAUGAGUCUCCAGCUUCAGGGAUUUUUGCAAUUCGUUCCAGUCAUUGGCAGCAGAGAACUGGAAGGAAAGGCAGCCAAAGGAGGAAUUGGCUUUGGGGGUGACCAGUGAAAUAUACCUGCUGGAGCGCGUGCUGGUAUGAUGACCAGUGACCUGAGAUAAGGUGGGGCUUUACCUAGCAAAGACUUAUAGAUGACCUGGAGCCAGUGGGUUUGGCGACAAAUAUGAAGCGAGGGCCAGCCAACGAGAGCAUACAGGUCGCAAUGGUGGGUAGUAUAUGGGGCUUUGGUGACAAAACGGAUGGCACUGUGAUAGACUGCAUCCAAUUUGCUGAGUAGAGUGUUGUAGGCUAUUUUGUAAAUGACAUCGCCAAAGUCAAGGAUCGGUAGGACAGUCAGUUUUACGAGGGUAUGUUUGGCAGCAUGAGUGAAGGAUGCUUUGUUGCGAAAUAGGAAGCCGAUUCUAGAUUUAAUUUUGGAUUGGAGGUGCUUAAUGUGAGUCUGGAAGGAGAGUUUACAGUCUAACCAGACACCUAGGUAUUUGUAGUUGUUCACAUAUUCUAAAUCAGAACCGUCCAGAGUAGUGAUGCUAGACGGGCGGGCAGGUAACACUAAAAGGUAACACUUUAUAUGAAGGGGGUAUACAUAGCGCAUUAAUAACACAAGAAUCUAGUGGGAGUGAGCCCAAUGAUAGCUUGUGUUACUGUUACUGUUAGCCUCUGCUUAGCUAAAGCCUAGGCAUUAGCUUUUGGAGCAAAUGCAAGUCUUCAGGUCUCAGUCAAGGUUACUCAACAUGUUACAAUGACCAGGACCGGCUCCAGGCAUUAGUGACAUAAGCAUUCACUUAGAAAUUCAGUUGGGAUCUCAACUUACUGUUGAGAGUUUCAAUAGUAGAAUACCCAAGGUGCAAGCUCCAGAGUGGCACAGCAGUCUAAGGCACUGCAUCUCAGUACUAGAGGCAUUACUACAGACCCUGGUUCAAUUCCAGGGUGUAUCACAACCGGCUGUGAUUGGGAGUCCCAUAGGGUGGCGCACAAUUGGCCCAGCAUCGUCUGGGUUAGGGUUUGACCGGGUUUGGCCGUCAUUGUAAAUAAGAAUUUGUUCUUAACUGACUUGCCUAGUUAAAUAAAUAAACUCAAUAAGCCAUGUCAGCUAACAAUUUUUAGAUUGUUAAGAUAGUCUAGCCAGUUAUCUAAACUUGUAGUAAUCAUUGCCGAAUACUGACCGGGCAUGCAGGGCACGUGUCCAGGGGCCCUGACCUCGAGGGGGCCUGUCAUGCCAAAUAAUGUCCCCCAGCCGUUGCUAUAUCAACGGUGUGAUGACCUAAUGAUUCGAAUUUUGGAGAUCAUUACAGCCUAAAUUACAUUAUUUUCAUCAUCGCUAUGCAAACAAGGCUGAUUUCCGUGACAAUUUCGCUGUUUAAACAAGUUUUGUUUAGUUAAUAAAAUGAAAACGUCACUUCAAACUACUUUUGGGUACCUUGUUAACAUUACAACAUGAAAUCCAUGUCUUAAACGUUGCUACGUUUCGGGAAAUAGCAAAGAAAACAUGUAAUCUGCUUGACACAUUAAAGUUACUUACCUUACAGACCAGGAAGUCAGCUAAUUUCCACUUUUUAUUUUAACCUGCCCUUCCCUUAUCUACACUGAAAUAUAAUUUCAGUAGUCCUCUAUCUUGAUUUUAAAAAAUCUAUCUCGCAUAGCUCAUUAGUACCCACUAUUGUAGGUCCUAGGACACAACAAAUAAUAAUGUGCAACAAAUAAAUACCACCAAAGGAUACAUUACAACUUACAAUAAUGAACACCUUUUGAAACAGCUGUGAAAGCCAACCUGGCAAUAUUUUAAGAUUUUUAGACAAACUUUAAAAAUAAAUUGGUUCAGUUGUGUCCUUAACUCAUUUUCACAGAUUUGUUUGUACACUCACAUGGCAAUCCUAGACUAAAAUACUGAAUUCUGGUGUGUGGAAUAUAGAGUAGGUGGUUGCUGUGUGGGUGGGAGGUUCUGCCUGUCACUUGUUCUCAACAGGCAGAAGGGGGACUUGAAGCGGGAGACUGCAAAGUCCAGGCACUGCUGCUGCUCUCUUUGUUCUGAGUGUUUGCAGCGCUAGUGUUUUUAGUUAAUCUGCGUAUCAAAAAAAAUCGAAUCAAAUUUUAUUUGUCACAUACACAUGGUUAGCAGAUGUUAAUGCAAGUGUAGCGAAAUGCUUGUGCUUCUAGUUCCGACCAUGCAGUAAUAUCUAACAAGUAAUCUAACAAUUUCACAACAACUACCUUACACACACAAGUGUAAAGGAAUGAAUAAGAAUAUGUACAUAACAAUAUAUGGAUGAGCGAUGGCCGAACGGCAUAGGCAAGAUGCAGUAGAUGGUAUAGAGUACAGUAUAUACAUAUGAGAUGAGUAAUGUAGGGUAUAUAAACAUUAUAUAAAGUGGCAUUGUUUAAAGUGGCUAGUGAUACAUUUAUUACAUCCAAUUUUGUAUUAUUAAAGUGGCUAGAGAUGAGUCAAUAUGUUGGCAGCAGCCACUCAAUGUUAGCGAUGGCUGUUUAACAGUCUGAUGGCCUCUCUCGGUCCCAGCUUUGAUGCACCUGUACUGACCUCGCCUUCUGGAUGAUAGUGGGGUGAACAGGCAGUGGCUCGGGUGGUUGUUGUCCUUGAUGAUCUUUUUGGCCUUUAUGUGACAUCGGGUGGUGUAGGUGUCCUGGAGAGCAGGUAGUUUGCCCCCGGUGAUGCGUUAUGCAGACCUCACUACCAUCUGGAGAGCCUUACGGUUGUGGGUGGAGCAGUUGCCGUACCAGGCGGUAAUACAGCCCGACAGGAUGCUCUCGAUUGUGCAUCUGUAAAAGUUAGUGAGUGUUUUAGGUGACAAGACAAAUUUCUUCAGCCUCCUGAGGUUGAAGAGGCGCUCCUGCGCCUUCUUCACCACGCUGUCUGUGGGUGGACCAUUUCAGUUUGUCCGUGAUGUGUACGCCAAGGAACUUAAAAUGUUCCACCUUCUCCACUACUGUCCCGUCGAUGUGGAUAGAGGGCUGCUCCCUCUGCUGUUUCCUGAAGUCCACGAUCAUCUCCUUUGUUUUGUUGACAUUGAGUGUGAGGUUAUUUUCCUGACACCACACUCCGAGGACCUUCACCUCCUCCCUGUAGGCCGUCUCGUCGUUGUUGGUAAUCAAGCCUACCACUGUACUGUACUGUAGUGUCGUCUGCAAACUUGAUGAUUGAGUUGGAGGCGUGCAUGGCCACGCAGUCAUGGGUGAACAGGGAGUACAGGAGAGGGCUGAGAACACACCCUUGUGGUUCGCUCUUUCAGUUUUGCGCGAAUGCUGCCAUCAAUCCACGGUUUCUGGUUCGGGAAGGUUUUAAUAGUCGCUGUGGGUACAACAUCACGGAUGCACUUGCUAAUAAACUCGCUCACUGAAUCAGCGUAUUCAUCAAUGUUGUUGUCCGACGCUAUGCGGAACAUAUCCCAGUCCACGUGAUCGAAGCAAUCUUGAAGCUUGGAUUCCUGAACAGACCUGAGCACUGGCAUUUCCUGUUUAAGUUUCUGUCUAUAGGCUGGGAGCAACAACAUGGAGUCGUGGUCAGAUUUUCCGAAAGGAGGGUGGGGGAGAGCUUUGUAUGCGUCGCGGAAGUUAGAAUAACAAUGAUCCAGGGUUUUUCCAGCCCAGGUCGCGCACUCGAUAUGCUGAUAACAAGGCUCCCUACAUUUUUUCAGAUUAGCCUUGUUAAGAUCCCCAGCUACAAUAAAUGCAGCCUCAGGAUAUGUGGUUUCUAGCUUACAUAGAGUCCAAUGAAGUUCUUUCAGGGCCGUCGAUGUGUCUGCUUGGGGGGGAUAUACACAACUGUGAUUAUAAUCGAAGAGAAUUCUCUUGGUAGAUAAUGCGGUCGGCAUUUGGUUGUAAGGAAUUCUAGGUCAGGUGAACAAAAGGACUUGAGUUCCUGUAUGUUGUUAUAAUCACACCACGUCUCGUUAAUCAUAAGGCAUACACCCCCGCCCGUCUUCUUACCAGAGAGAUGUUUGUUUCUGUUGGCGCGAUGCGUGAAGAAACCAGUUGGCUGUACCGACUCUGAAAACGUAUCCCGAGUGAGUCAUGUUUCCGUGAAACAAAGAACGUUACAAUCUCUGUUGUCUCUCUGGAAGGCAACCCUUGCUCGGAUUUUGUCUACCUUGUUGUCAAGAGACUGGACAUUGCCUACCUCAAGCUGGUCCCCCUCCGACUCAGAGCACAGAGAAUCAGACUGAUCCGAACUCACUGGCUCUGGUGGAUGGGAUACCUCCUGGGGGGUUUGGACAGUCAGUGGUCCUAAAGUCAUUUGGAGAGGUAAAUUGAAGAGUUCCAUUUUUAUAAGCUCAGCUUAACUACCAUUUCUUGUUUUCUCAAAUGUCAACCAAAGCUUAACAUACUUUGUCUAUUGGGCUUCACCGAAGUGUAGGGUGUCAGGGCGUUUGUCACGUCCUGACCAUAGAAAGCUGUUAUUUUCUAUGGUAGACUGGGUCAGGGUGUGACAGGGGGGGUUUUCUAGUUUAGUUUUUCUAUGUUGUCAUGUUCUAGUUUUGUAUUUCUAUGUUGGUUUUGUUUGGGAUGAUCUCCAAUUAGAUGCAGCUGGUCCUCGUUGUCUCUAAUUGGAGAUCAUACUUAAGUAGGUGUUUUUUCUACCUGGGUUUGUGGGAGAUUGUCUUUGAGUAGUGUAUGUUUCACCUCUGCGUCACGGUUUGUUGUUUUGUUCUUUAGUUUAUGUAUUGCAUAGUUUCACAGUGUAAAUAAAAUGUGGAAUGACACACACGCUGCACUUCGGUCCGCUUCUCCUUACGACAACCUUGACAGUGUUCAGUGGUUGACCGUCCAAUUGCUCCAACUGAAGAAGAUUAUUGGCUUCCACCAUUUUAGUGAAACUAAAACUAGCUUCAGGUUAAUUUGUGUGCAAAUGCAAAUAGUUACAGUUCAUUCAGAACGUAUUCAGACCCCUUAACUUUUUCCACAUUUUGUUACGUUACAGCCUUAUUCUAAAUCUUAUUCUUUUUUUUCCUCAUCAAUCUACACACAAUACCCAAUAAUGACAAAGUGAAAACCGUUUUUUUUUUUUACAUUUUUGACUGCUCUAAGUAUUCAGACCCUUUGAAAUUGAGCUUGGGCGCAUCCUGUUUCAUUGAUCUUCCUUGAGAUGUUUCUACAACUUGAUUGGAGUCCAUCUGUGGUAAAUUAAAUUGAUUGGACAUGAUUCAGAAAUGCACACACCUGUCUACAUAAGGUCCCACAGUUGACAGUGUAUGUCAGAGCAAAAACCAAGCCAUGAGGUCGAGGAAUUGUCCAUAGAGCUCUGAGACAGGAUUGUGAUCAGGCACAGAUCUGUGGAAAAGGUACCAAAAAAUGAAGGUCCCCAAGAUCCCAGUGACCUUCAUCAGUCUUAAAUGAAAGAUGUUUGGAACCACCAAGACUCUUCCUAGAGCUGGCCGCCCGGCCAAAUCGGGGGAGAAGGGCCUUGGUCAGGGAGGUGACCAAGAACCCAAUAGUCACUCUGACAGAGCUCCAGAGUUCCUCUGUGGAGAUGGGAGAACCUUCCAGAAGGACAACCAUCUCUGCAGCACUCCACCAAUCAGGCCUUUAUGGUAGAGUGGCCAGAUGGAAGCCACUCCUCAGUAAAAGGCACAUGACAGCCUGCUUGGAGUUUGCCAAAAACACCUAAAGGACUCUCAGACCAUAAGAGACAAGAUUCUCUGGUCUGGUGAAACCAAGAUUGAACUCUUUGGCCUGAAUGGCAAGCGUCACGUCUGGAGGAAACCUGGCAACAUCCCUACGGUGAAGCAUGGUGGUGGCAGCAUCAUGCUGUGGGGAUGUUUUUCAGCGGCGGGGACUGGGAGACUAUUCAGGAUCAAGGGAAAGAUGAACGGAGCAAAGUACAGAAAGAUCCUUGAUGAAAAACUGCUCCAGAAGGUUCAGCUUCCAAUAGGGCAAUGACCCCAGCACACAGCCAAGACAAUGUAGGAGUGGCUUCGGGACAAGUCUCUGAAUGUCCUUGAGUGGCCCAGCCAGAGCCCGGACUUGAACCCGAACAAACAUCUCUGGAGAAACCUGAAAAUAGCUGUGCAGCGACGCUCCCCAUCCAACCAGACAGAGCUUGAGAGGAUCUGCAGAGAAAAAUGGCAGAAACUCCAUCAAAUACAGGUGUGCCAAGCUUGUAACGUCAUAUCCAAGAAGACUCAAGGCUGAAAUCGCUGCCAAAGAUGCUUCAACAAAGUACUGGGGGAAUAAUUUCUACAAACCUGUUUUUGUUUCAUCAUUAUGGGGUAUUGUGUGUAGAUUGAUGAGGAAAAAGAAUCUGGAAAAAGUGAAAGGGUCUGAAUACUUUCCAAAUGCAAGUAAUUUGGCCAGAUGUCGUAGCACUUGGUCCCCGUCUUGAUUCUGCUCCGGUAGUUCUCCUUCUGUUUCUCCUGCGCCUUGUCCAUGUUCAGUAUCACCUUGAUUGAUAACAAGAAUAAAGGCAAUUAUAUUUCGUAUUACAAAUACAUUUCUUACAUAUCUCUUGGAGGGCCAGAAAAUAAAUUAACAGCAGACAAUCAUUUUUACCUGGUCAAAAACCUCCACAUCCGUGCCUGGAGGUGGUCCUCGAAGACGUUCUGAUCAGGUUCCACAACUUCCACCACAUCAGGUGGGGUUUCAGUGAUCUGAAAGUACAUUAUACAAAAAUAGCAAAAGACAAAACAACAACACUAAGUCAAUCACAAAUAUGAAAGACUACAGUAUAUGCAAUAAUUGUAUAAACAAUUGCAUUGUUUACCUCAGUCAACAGGUGCGGCUCCCGUCCGUACUCGGUGGAGGUCUGGACGCUGCUGUUGUGUGGAAAGAUAAUUACCUUCAGGUUGUUCUCCCACCAUUCCUGGUUACCAUCAAGGGACUUGCCCAUGGCAGUCUUGAGGGUCUGGUUGGUCCAUUCACCAAACCUGGAGGAGGGGGUAGGAAAGCCAUAUCUAUUGACACUCUAAGAUAUUGAAAUAUGUCUGAUUAUGUACCAUGUAAAAACGUUUUUUUUUUUUUUAUAAAUAAAUAAAACAAAUGAUAGGUGACAUAAUAUAACCUAUAACAUCCGUACCUUGUUCCAGUGUUCAUGACCUCGGUCACUCAAGAUGACCUCAAGAGAACUGUGGGUGUUGCCUUCCCUGUGGCUCAGUUGGUAGAGCAUGGUGUUUGCAACGCCAGCAUGGUGUGUGCAAUGCCAGGGUUGUGGGUUCGAUUCCCAUGGGGGGGCCAGUACAAAAAACAAAUGCAUGAAAUGGAAUGUAUGCAUUCACUACUGUAAGUUGCUCUGGAUAAGAGCGUCUGCUAAAUGACUAAAAUGUAAAAAUGAAGAUGACCAUCAUCACCUUGGAGGUGACCUUGCCAGUUUAGUCCUUGAUGGGUAUCAUACAAAACAAAAAUGAUGUUGGGGUUCCAAGCACCCUUUUUAAAUGGGUUACAGAAGGGAAUUUAGAGUUAAGCACAUUCUCUUCCUUUGCUGACCUUAAUGGGUAUUGCCUCCACUCACUUGGUAAAAUGAUUGGUCGCUGUCAGACACCAGCUUUUGCCAUUCCUGGAUUUUGUGAAGGGUCCGAUGAGGUCCAACCCUAACAUUUAAAGUGUUAGAGAGAAUAUUAUUUUAUUCUUACCCGUAUCUGUGUCAUACAGUGUGCAAAUGUUCAUAUUUGUAAGGAUACUGACACACACACACACACAAAACACAUAUUCUAUAAUAUUGAACUCUGCUGUAGUCAAAUAAAGCAACCAUUACAAAACAAAUGAUCAGGGAACAUUUUUAAUUGGGACACUUACCGAUCAUGUGACAUGGGGAAACAACUUUGAUGGGAUUCAACUCCGGCGCCACAGUCUUCACCUUCUCAAACUUCUGGCAGGCUAGACAGGGUACUGAGCUUUAAACUUCUUCGGGAUCAGUGUCCCAUCCACGGGACGGUUGAGCUAACGUAGGCUAAUGUGAUUAGCAUGAGGUUGUAAGUAACAAGAACAUUUCCCAGGUCAUAGACAUAUCUGAUAUUGGCAGAAAGCUUCAAUUCUUGUUAAUCUAACUGCACUGUCCAAUUUACAUGAGCUAUUACAGUGAAAUAAUACCAUGCUAUUGUUUGAGGAGAGUGCACAAUUUUGAACAUAAAAAGUUAUUAAUAAACAAAUUAGGCACAUUUGGGUGGUCUUGACACAACAUUUUGAACAGAAAUGCAAUGGUUCACUGAAUCAGCCUAAAACUUUGCACAUACCCUGACACCAUCUAGUGGCCAAAAUCUAAAUUGCACCUGGGCUGGAAUAAUACAUUAUGGCCUUUCUCUUGCAUUUUAAAGAUAAUGGUACAAAAAAAGUACAAAAGAAUGGUUGGUUUUUCUUUGUAUUAUCUUUUAGCAGAUCUAUUGUGUUAUAUUAUCCUACAUUCCUUUCACAUUUCCACAAACUUCAAAGUGUUUCCUUUCAAAUGGUACCAAUAAUAUUAAUAUCCUUGCUUCAGGGCCUGAGCUACAGGCAGUUAGAUUUGGGUAUGUCAUUUUAAGCAAAAAGUGACAAAUUAAAACUUUGGUUGUUCUCUGAUAUGACAUUCAUUGAAAUCAUAAUAGUUUCAGAAAUAAUAGAAUGUGAUUGAUAAACAAAAGACUCUCUCACUUGCCCAGCUGUCCACCUCCUUGACAUUUCCCCAUCAGAAGAUGCGUAGGUUGAUUUUGGCAAAGCUGCGCUUUACUCCGAAAUGGCCAGCAUGCAUCUCGGUCAGCACGGCCUCCUUCUCCUCCUUAGUAAAAAUCACCCUCCUGUGUGGCUGCCAAUCCUUCCCCCGUAGGUACAUGCGAUUGCCUAACAAGUUGGAAGAGACGAGUACAUUUGCACUGCUGUCUUUCUUUCUCUGUUUCUCGCUUUCCAUCUCUCUCUGUCUUCCACUCUUCCCACAUCUCUUUCUCCCUCUCUCACUUCAUCCUUUCUUUCUUACAUUCUUCCUCUCUCUCCACCCCCCUCUCUCUCUCUGUGCUUGUCUAGCAAAGUUACCUAGUUAAGGGCAUUUGGAAUUACCAUAAUUGCUUACACCUAUCCAUUUGAUUGAUCAGGUUUAACUUAUAGCUAGAUACCUCAAUAUGACAGACAUAUACGUAUAUCAGUGGAGGCUGCUGAGGGAGCAUGGCUCAUAAUAAUAGCUGGAAUGGAGUCAAUGGAUGUCACGCAUCCCACUCCCGCUCCCCCUCCCUGGCGCUCGAGGGCGCCAGGCUGCCCAUCAUUACGCACACCUGUCACCAUCGUUACGCGCAUCAGCACUUCAUUGGACUCACCUGGAUUCCUUCACGUUUUAUUGCCUCCCCUAUAUCUGUCUAUUCCUCAGUUUGAUAUCGUGUCAGCAUUGAUGUUGUUUCGUUUCCCUUGUCCAGAUGCUGUCCUCGUUUUGUUUCAUGUCUGUUAUUCAUUAAAUGUUCACUCCCUGUACAAUGGAAUGGUAUCAACCACGGGUUUGAUAACAUUCCAUUGACUCCAUUACAGACAUUAUUAUGAGCCAUCCUCCCCUCAGCAGCCUCCACUGAACUAUAUGUAUAGCUAGCAACAUGUAGAUGACCAACUAGCUAGAUGGAAAAUGGGUGUUGAAAAAUGGUUGUACAUAACUAAAUCCAUCCAGUUAUCUAAUAGAAGUUAACUGCUUAACGUUACCCUGAAUUGUGAAUUUCUCUUAAUGUUGCGCCUCUUGUCGAGAUCAGUGGUGCCUUCAUAGUACUUUGCCUGGUUGGAAAGAUGAAAGAAAGUCUCCUUGAGGGAUGCCAUUGAAGUGCAAGCUACAGACAAACAGAAAGCUACAAUUGCAAUUACAGUAGCUAGCUAGCUAGCUAGCUAGCGUUAGCUAAAUAAAAUGUCUGGCUAGCUGACUAGGCAGGCUGAGGUAAAUAAGUAUAGUAGCUAGCAACGUAAAUUUAAAAACAGCUUAAAUGAUUUCUUCCUAUUUAACAAUAUGUUCUUAUAUAACGACAAAUAUAUGGUAAAGAAAGAGGGUUCUCUUUCCAGCCUUUUCGGGCCUCUGAAGCAGUAGGUAGUCACCAUCAAAAACAGUCCUUGGAGAGAAAUUCAGAGGUAAUAAUUUUGUGUAGACUGUGCUUUGGCAAAGUGGGUGGGGUUAUAUCCUACCCGUUUGGCCCUGUCCGGGGGUUUCAUCGGAUGGGGCCACAGUGUCUCCUGACCCCUCCUGUCUCAGCCUCCAGUAUUUAUGCUGCAGUAGUUUAUGUGUCGGGGGGGCUAGGGUCAGUCUGUCACAUCUGGAGUAUUUCUCGUCUUUUCCGGUGUCCUAUGUGAAUUUAAAUAUGCUCUCUCUAAUUCUCUCUCUCGGAGGACCUGAGCCCUAGGACCAUGCCUCAGCACUAGCUGGCUUGAUGACUUCUUGCUGUCCCCAGUUCACCUGGCCGUGCUGCUGCUCCAGUUCCAACUGUUCUGCCUGCAGCUAUGGAACCCUGACCUGUUCACCGGACGUGCUACCUGUCCCAGACCUGUUGUCCCAGACCUGCUGGAACCCUGACCUAUUCACUGGACGUGCUACCUGUCCCAGACCUGCUGUUUUCAACUCUCUAGAGACAGCAGGAGCGGUAGAGAUACUCUCAAAGAUCGGCUAUGAAAAAGCCAACUGACACUUACUCUUGUGUUACUGACUUGUUGCACCCUCGACAACUACUAUGAUUAUUAUUAUUUGACAAUGCUGGUCAUUUAUGAACAUUUGAACAUCUAGGCCAUGUGCUGUUAUAAUCUCCACCCGGCACAGCCAGAAGAGGACUGGCCACCCCUCAUAGCCUGGUUCCUCUCUAGGUUUCUUCCUAGGUUUUGGCCUUUCUAGGGAGUUUUUCCUAGCCACCGUGCUUCUACACCUGCAUUGCUUGCUGUUUGGGGUUUUAGGCUGGGUUUCUGUACAGCACUUUGUGAUAUCAGCUGAUGUAAGAAGGGCUAUAUAAAUAAAUUUGAUUUGAUUUGAUUUGGACUGAGCAAGCUCUUAUUAGGUGAAAAGAUAGAACUGCCCGCGUCCUCAGUCCUUCGCUACCGUUACCAGGUAAAAUAGAGCCAAGCAACCAGCAUAGCAACGGACGCUUUGGUUCAUUACGUAACCCAGUCAUAAUUUUGGAAGUUCUAGCAACAGCCCUAGCAACGGAAGCUAGAACUCAUUGAAUCCCAUUGUGACACAGGGGGGACACUAUCUGGCAUGACAGGACCUUAUUGAUUAUGUUAGUCACUGUCACUCAGAUAUCAUUAAUGUGGCAUAAGUCAUGACAAAAUGUAUAGAAUUGCAGGAAAUUAGCUUAAAUUUAAAACAAAAAAAUGCUCUGCCCCAUGGCAAAUUUAGUAAAAUUGCAUGAAAUUUGUUAUACAUUUAUUAAAAUAUUUUCUCUACGUGUAGAAUUGCAGGAAAUAAAUGUUAAAACCUUUUUCUCUCCGCUAUCAAGAUGGGGGCCACAAAAAAAAUUGACCUCUUGGUGGGGGGUUCGCCAACCAAAUCUCACUUAGGGCCCCCAAGCAAUGAAAAUGUGGCCUUAAGCAAGGAAUAAAUUCUUACACUGCUAGCUGGGUAAGGCUCUGAAGCUUACCUGGUGCUCCCAGAUUGUUGCAUGAAUAGUAUGUCAGCGGAUUUGGUACUGUGACAGAGAAAUAUGAAUUUCCUGUCACGGUUGUCGUAGGGUAGAGACCAAGACGCAGCGGGAAAAUAUAUACUUAUCUUCUUUUUAUUUAGGUGAAGACGGAAAAACACGUAUACAAAACAAAACGAACUUGACAGUCUUGUCAGGCAAACAGCUAAACAAGAACAAUCUCCCACAAAAUCCCAUGAAAAACAAACUCCUAAUUAUAGGACCCUCAAUCAGAGGCAACAAUAACCAGCUGCCUCCAAUUGAAGGUCCAACCCCAAUUAACUAAACAUAGAAAUACAAAAAACUAGAUAGAACAUACAAAAAUACUAACAUAGAACAUAGACUAACAAACCCCGGACCACAUAAACCAAACACCCCUCUGUUACGUUCCCCAGUUUCUGUUGUAGUUUGUAUAUUUGUAAGUGUGUUUCAGGUAAUGGCUUCCUGAAGUUCUCCAAGCAGCUGAUUGGUCGGCCCCAUUGCUGAUUGGAGAGCUGACCCCGCCCCCUCGCCAGGACGCAGCUGUCUCAAUUAACAACCCCAAUAUAAGCCAGUGUGCUGUUGCUCAGGGAAGGAGAGACAGAGAUUUUUGCUGAGAGAGGAGGUUGAUG